rnacentral:rRNA from 1 species
GGUACAGACAUAAAAGAUUCAGCUUGCUGAAUCCGGUGCUGACGAGCGGCGAACGGGUGAGUAACGCGUAGGAAUCUACCCAGUAGCGGGGGAUAGCCCGAGGAAACUCGGAUUAAUAUCGCAUACGCCCUGAGGGGGAAAGGGGGCAGUUUACUGCUCUCACUAUUGGAUGAGCCUGCGUAAGAUUAGCUUGUUGGUAGGGUAAUGGCCUACCAAGGCGACGAUCUUUAGCUGGUCUGAGAGGACGAUCAGCCACAUUGGGACUGAGACACGGCCCAGACAUUUACGGAUGGCAGCAGUUAAGAAUAUUGGACAAUGGGGGCAACCCUGAUCCAGGUAUACCGCGUGUGUGAAGAAGGCCCUAGGGUUGUAAAGCACUUUAAUCAGAGAAGAAGCAUUUUAAGUUAAUACCUUAAUAUGUUGACGUUACCUGAAGAAUAAGGACCGGCUAACUCCGUGCCAGCAGCCGCGGUAAUACGGAGGGUCCAAGCGUUAAUCGGAAUUACUGGGCGUAAAGCGCGCGUAGGCGGUUUAGCAAGUUGUAUGUGAAAGCCCUGGGCUCAACCUAGGAACUGCAUCCAAAACUACUAAGCUAGAGUACGAGAGAGGAGAGUAGAAUUUCUGGUGUAGCGGUGAAAUGCGUAGAUAUCAGACGGAAUCCCAUGGCGAAGGCAGCUCUCUGG